rnacentral:sRNA from 1 species
CUCUUUCCGGCGGUGCUCGCAAGCCAGGCAGCCAUGUCUUAUCCCGCUGAUGAUUAUGAGUCUGAGGCGGCUUAUGACCCCUACGCUUAUCCCAGCGACUAUGAUAUGCACACAGGAGAUCCAAAGCAGGACCUUGCUUAUGAACGUCAGUAUGAACAGCAAACCUAUCAGGUGAUCCCUGAGGUGAUCAAAAAUUUCAUCCAGUAUUUCCACAAAACUGUCUCAGAUUUGAUUGACCAGAAAGUGUAUGAGCUACAGGCCAGUCGUGUCUCCAGUGAUGUCAUUGACCAGAAGGUGUAUGAGAUCCAGGACAUCUAUGAGAACAGUUUCAGUCAUUCAGUCAGUACCGCUGUAAGACUGCCAAGAAGUCAGAGGAGGAGAUUGACUUUCUUCGUUCCAAUCCGAAAAUCUGGAAUGUUCACAGUGUCCUCAAUGUCCUUCAUUCCCUGGUAGACAAAUCCAACAUCAACCGACAGUUGGAGGUGUACACAAGCGGAGGGUGUCACUGUGUCACCCAGUCUGGUCUUGGACUCCUGGGCUCAAGCAAUCCUGCCUUGGCCUCCCAAAAGUGCCAGGAUUAUUG